AUCCCGUGGUGAGGACAUUGUCUAAGGAACUCCUUGAAUCUUUCCCAUGCAUAAAACAACGACUCAUCCUCUCCUUGUCUGACUGAAGUGAUUUCAUUUCUCAUCCU